UGCGAUUAUUUAUAUAGAAUUGCAUUGUUAUGUGUUUCUAAAAAUAGUCAAUUUAAAGAAAUAACACGACUAUUCAAGUUUUCUUAAAAUUAUUUCCAUGGAGAUGUGUUAUUCGUUUUGGAAGGAAAGGUAAGUUAAGUCCUAGGUAUAUUGGGCCUUAUCAGAUAACAUAACGAGUGGGACCAGUAGCCUAUAGACUUGAAUUGCCAACAGAACUUACUCGAAUACAUGAUGUUUUUCAUGUAUCCAUGUUAAGGAAAUAUAUACCAGAACCAUCACUUGUGUUGCGAGAGCAACCAGUUGAGUUGAAAGAAGAUUUGAGUUAUGAUGAAGAAGCAGUUCGAAUCCUUGAUAGAAAAGAACAAGUUUUGAGGAACAAGACGGUUCCACUCGUAAAGGUUUUGUGGAGACAUCACGGAGUGGAGGAGGCAACUUGGGAACCAAAAGAUCAGAUGAAGAAGAGAUACUCGACACUUUCAGUUAAGAACAUCUAAAUUUCGAGACGAAAUUUUCUAAGGGGAAGAGAAGGCAAAGUAGGUGUUUUCCACGCGAAAUCAGAUAUCCUCUGGUCUUUUGAGUUUUCUGGUGUGUAUACGUUGAGGGACAAGUUGAAGGUCUGUAGAGUGCGCAAUUUUGGAGUGGUUUUGUUUCGUGGUUAGAUUCUGUUGUUGACGUUGAGUGUAUUCCGUAACAACUAUGCUAUCAUGAAUGUUGGGUGGACCCCACUACGACAAAGACGAUGGGAGUAUUGGGCGAGCCCCACUACAUCAUAAAGCUUGUAAAGGUAGAGUUCGAGUUCCCGGUACCUAAUAGACUGCCUUAGUCUGCUGAAGCUCCAAUAUCGAUUGUCAGUACGUGGUUAGAGUUGUACAUAAAGUUUGUUGUGAUAUAAUGUAUAUGUCUUUAUAUGAUUUAGAUACACUAGAGUUUGUGUAAGCUCUAGGAGUUGCGGUUGUGUAAAUCUUUGUUGGUUAUGUUUUGGUUAAGUUGUCUCCAAGUUUAUUUGCAAAAUCAGUUAUUUUCAGGUUACACUUCAUGUAUGUAUAUGAUUAGUCUAGGUUCCGAUGUGUUAUGUUGC